CAAAACAGCCAGCCUGGUCUCGACGCACAACUCUAGACGAAUGGCUUGUGACCUUGAUAGAGAAUUGGAAAACAGCCAGGCCGAGUCAGGACAGCGCCUGAUGUCGACACGGCUUACAACACAUCUAGUGAUCGCGUUGUGAAUUUUGUGAACAAUAUCCGUUAAUGUUAAUAACUAGCUACGCACUUUUACAGUUCGUUACCCCGGUUACUACGUUCCACAUCCUAGUCUUCAGCUUUAAAAGCCUGCAAUGAUAAAUCGUAUAUUGACAAAUGAAUUCCGAAAAAUGGCUUUUGAGGACUAAAGAUCAUCACCAUUAGCAUCUCCGUGCCAGAUUUGAUUUUUUUUUUUUCAAAAUUGUGAACAAGUUUUCGUGGGAAACGAGAAUUCAGACGAGUAAAUAUCACUUAGGCAACGCUAAGAAAAAGCCAAGAUGUUUCUCUCUACUCUUUACACUGCAGAGGCUUCGUUGAAACCGUAAGAAACAUAUCGCUAUUUCCUAUCGUCGACAUUCUGUUUCCCCUCUUUCCCUUGAGAAAACCGAGCGAGCGUGAUAUGCGAUAUACGGCUAUCUUAAGAAAUUGUGAGAAAUGAAAAAGAAUUUCAAAGCCAGAGUCAAGGACUUUCAGCGGCCCUUGAAUUCAUAACAAAAUCGAAUUUCGUCGAAAACGAGAGAGCAUUGAUCUAAAAAGCUCUUUGUCACAAUGGCUCUGUUUCAAAAUCUCGCUACGUUCAAUCCCGGAACGAAACAAAGCCUCUUUUUUUUUAAUUAUUCUUCUCGUAUUAUUCCUAGCAAACCCUAUACGAUGUUUAGUUGUGGAAAAUCGCUAGGUCUGCUGAUGAAGUUGCUCCCAUUUCAUUACACCCAGAUUUCUUGGUAUACGUUGCGCCGCAGCUGAAAUACAAGUCUGAUGAAUGUAA